rnacentral:rRNA from 1 species
UAGGGAGGAAAAGAAACCAACUGGGAUUACCUUAGUAACGGCGAGUGAAGCGGUAAAAGCUCAAAUUUGAAAUCUGGUACUUUCAGUGCCCGAGUUGUAAUUUGUAGAAUUUGUCUUUGAUUAGGUCCUUGUCUAUGUUCCUUGGAACAGGACGUCAUAGAGGGUGAGAAUCCCGUUUGGCGAGGAUACCUUUUCUCUGUAAGACUUUUUCGAAGAGUCGAGUUGUUUGGGAAUGCAGCUCAAAGUGGGUGGUAAAUUCCAUCUAAAGCUAAAUAUUGGCGAGAGACCGAUAGCGAACAAGUACAGUGAUGGAAAGAUGAAAAGAACUUUGAAAAGAGAGUGAAAAAGUACGUGAAAUUGUUGAAAGGGAAGGGCAUUUGAUCAGACAUGGUGUUUUUUGCAUGCACUCGCCUCUCGUGGGCUUGGGCCUCUCAAAAAUUUCACUGGGCCAACAUCAAUUCUGGCAGCAGGAUAAAUCAUUAAGAAUGUAGCUACUUCGGUAGUGUUAUAGCUUUUUGGAAUACUGUUAGCCGGGAUUGAGGACUGCGCUUCGGCAAGGAUGUUGGCAUAAUGGUUAAAUGCCGCCCGUCUUA